rnacentral:tRNA from 1 species
GGCGGAAUGGCCGAGCGGUCUAAGGCGCUAGAAUCAGGCGAUUGUCUCAUCUAGUCCGAAAGGGCGUGGGUUCGAAUCCCACUUCCGUCA